GGAACCGGGCACGGGCGGAGGCUGCGGCCACCCAGGGGGCUCGAGGGGUCGGGGACGGGAGCGGAGCGGAGCCCGGCGCCCUCCCGCAGCCGCCUCACCGCACACGGGCGGCAGCGCCGAGCGGGACCCGGCGGCGCCGCACGCCCAAAAUGGCGGCGCGAAGCGCGGCCGGAACGUGCUGCCCGGGAACGCGCGUGCGCAGCGGCACCGCCCGGCACUUUCUCUCCUCGGACGUGCGGCUCAGGAGAGUCCAGGGUGAGCGCUGGGGCCGCCGGUUCGAGUCCCGGUGCCGCCUUCCUGCGGGCGCUGCGGCCUGGCCCGCUUUCCCUGUCGAGUUGAGCUUUACUUGUUUGUUCCCGUGCUUGCUUCUUGUUGUUUUAACUUUGCGUUUGCACGUGUCGUGUUUUUGGGAUGUCACGUGAGAAAAGUGCCCGAGGGUCACAGAAGUUACUGGAGCUGCCUGAAGAGGAUUCAAGAGCUCUUACUCUUUCCCAUUAGCAAAAACAAAUUCUCUAGGCUGAGAAAGGUACAUCUUAACAGAGGGCAAGGUGCUGACCCACUUGUUUUUGCAUGUGAGCCAUCAUGUUUAUCAGGGUCAAGACUUUGUAAGAGCUACUCAGAACAAAGGUUAUAGAAGUCUAUCACUGAUGGAACUUCAAUUUCAUGUUUCUGGGCUUGAUAUCUACAUUGGAAAAUGUCAAGUAGGCAUAAAACUGUCAGAUCUCAGAAGUGAGGUCCUUCAAUAACAUUCAAGCCAUGAAGAGUCACUAUAGGUCGUUGGAAGCAAUCAGGAAGCAUGUAACAGCCCAAAGCAGAAAUCAGUGUUGCAAUAUCCCAGAACAUCCUAAUCAAAUACUUCAGCAAACUUGCAAAACCUACUCAGUGUUUACAUUUGAAUUGCAGAUGUUUUAAAAUGCUGCUGCAACUACACAAUCCACAUUGAUUAAUACUAGAUCUCGGGGGGUUUUCCCAGUGUUGUGUACUAUGAAAAUAAUGUGGCUAACUCUGAGUUGUCCUCUUUUUCACUUUCUUGAACUUUGAAAAUUCUGUGGUGUUUUCCUUCCUUGUCAUUAUUGCGAGGAACUCAUUAAGUAGUUUUGCUGUUUUAUCUCAUAUGGAAGGUUAACAAACUUUAGUAAGUAAUUUUUAUAUUUCAUUGAUAAAAAUAAAAUACAAUUGAAAC